rnacentral:misc_RNA from 1 species
UCUAUCACUGUUCUGGAGGAGGUAACUAUCUUUGUAGUUGUAAGAAAAUUUUUGGAGUCUUAACAUUGGGAUCACUGCAAUUUAUACUAAUAAAUGCAAAAUCUUUUAAUGGUUUUCUUUUACGCUUUGUUGAACUGCACACUUUUGGUAGAAUGCUGUAUUCAUCGUGCCAAAUAGUAUGUUAUAAACUUGCUUGGCGAUACUAUAAAGCUCUAAACAAG